UCUGUGUGUCCCUGUUCAUCGUGGUUGUGAUGUCCUCUUUGAAUCAUCACAACCUGCAUGAAUGAGGACAGGCUCGC
rfam:Lottia gigantea unplaced genomic scaffold LOTGIsca_139, whole genome shotgun sequence.